GUAGGUGAACCUGCGGAAGGAUCAUUAAUGAUUGUAUGCCUGUCGAGCUUGCUCACAGGAUUUUACUCAUAUCCAUAACACCUGUGCACUUGUCGGAUGGCUUAGUGAAGACCGCAAGGUUGGAACUAUCCAUCUACUUUACAUAACAAUCCUGUAACAAAUGUAGUCUUAUUAUAACAUAAUAAAACUUUCAACAACGGAUCUCUUGGCUCUC
rnacentral:misc_RNA from 1 species